rnacentral:rRNA from 1 species
AGUGAACGCUGGCGGUAGGCCUAACACAUGCAAGUCGAACGGCAGCACAGUAAGAGCUUGCUCUUACGGGGUGGCGAGUGGCGGACGGGUGAGGAAUACAUCGGAAUCUACUUUUUCGUGGGGGAUAACGUAGGGAAACUUACGCUAAUACCGCAUACGACCUACGGGUGAAAGCAGGGGAUCUUCGGACCUUGCGCGAUUGAAUGAGCCGAUGUCGGAUUAGCUAGUUGGCGGGGUAAAGGCCCACCAAGGCGACGAUCCGUAGCUGGUCUGAGAGGAUGAUCGGCCACACUGGAACUGAGACACGGUCCAGACUCCUACGGGAGGCAGCAGUGGGGAAUAUUGGACAAUGGGCGCAAGCCUGAUCCAGCCAUACCGCGUGGGUGAAGAAGGCCUUCGGGUUGUAAAGCCCUUUUGUUGGGAAAGAAAAGCAGCAGGUUAAUACCCCGCUGUUCUGACGGUACCCAAAGAAUAAGCACCGGCUAACUUCGUG